GAUGAACGCUGGCGGCGUGCCUAAUACAUGCAAGUCGAGCGAACAGACGAGGAGCUUGCUCCUCUGACGUUAGCGGCGGACGGGUGAGUAACACGUGGAUAACCUACCUAUAAGACUGGGAUAACUUCGGGAAACCGGAGCUAAUACUGGAUAAUAUAUUGAACCGCAUGGUUCAAUAGUGAAAGACGGUUUUGCUGUCACUUAUAGAUGGAUCCGCGCCGCAUUAGCUAGUUGGUAAGGUAACGGCUUACCAAGGCAACGAUGCGUAGCCGACCUGAGAGGGUGAUCGGCCACACUGGAACUGAGACACGGUCCAGACUCCUACGGGAGGCAGCAGUAGGGAAUCUUCCGCAAUGGGCGAAAGCCUGACGGAGCAACGCCGCGUGAGUGAUGAAGGUCUUCGGAUCGUAAAACUCUGUUAUUAGGGAAGAACAAAUGUGUAAGUAACUCUGCACGUCUUGACGGUACCUACUCAGAAAGCCACGGCUAACUACGUG
rnacentral:rRNA from 1 species